UGCGCCACUGCACUCUAGCCUGGGUGACAGAGUGAGACUCCAUCUCCUAAAAACAAAAAAGAAAAGAAAAGAAAAAAAGGAAAACCACUCCACUUCCCCCCACCAACCCCAACACUCCCCAUUCUGACCCCUCUGCUGUUCCUCUCCCCACUAUUCCCCUGGGUCAGCCACACUGGGCUCCUUGCUGUUCUUCCAACAUGCCAGCCUUGCGCACAUCUCAGGGCCUUCAUAGCAGCUGUUCCCUUUCCCUGAAACACUUUUCCCACUGAUCGCCACAUGGCUGCCUCCCUCAUUUCCUUCAGGUCUCUACCAAAUGCCACUUUGUCUGGGAAGCCCCCACAGCACCCUCAU
rnacentral:lncRNA from 10 species